CGCCGCGUGUGUGAUGAAGGCUUUCGGGUCGUAAAGCACUGUUGUAUGGGAAGAACAGCUAGAAUAGGGAAUGAUUUUAGUUUGACGGUACCAUACCAGAAAGGGACGGCUAAAUACGUGCCAGCAGCCGCGGUAAUACGUAUGUCCCGAGCGUUAUCCGGAUUUAUUGGGCGUAAAGCGAGCGCAGACGGUUGAUUAAGUCUGAUGUGAAAGCCCGGAGCUCAACUCCGGAAUGGCAUUGGAAACUGGUUAACUUGAGUGCAGUAGAGGUAAGUGGAACUCCAUGUGUAGCGGUG
rnacentral:rRNA from 1 species